CAGGUGUCGCCACCGAAGAAGGGAGCUGCAUCUCUGUGUUUCUGGCCGCCGGGAGUGGUUAUGUGGCUUCUGGGAUCACUGCCGGAGCUCCGGGCUGAGCUUCUGCCACUUGAGACCCUGCUGCCGUCGCCGAAAAAGUUUGCCGUUGUCGUGAUCGGAAUUUGUUGCCGCUGCCGCUUGGGGUGGCUGCCGGGCUGCCGCCGAACCAGCCCAGAGACCGUCGCUGUUUCGGUUCAGCCGUUUUUUCUUAGUUUCGGUAAGUAAUUAUGUUUC